UUGACAUCCAGAGAAUUUAGCAGAGAUGCUUUAGUGCCUUCGGGAACUCUGAGACAGGUGCUGCAUGGCUGUCGUCAGCUCGUGUUGUGAAAUGUUGGGUUAAGUCCGCAACGAACGCAACCCUUAUCCUUUGUUGCCAGCACGUAAUGGUGGGAACUCAAAGGAGACUGCCGGUGAUAAACCGGAGGAAGGUGGGGAUGACGUCAAGUCAUCAUGGCCCUUACGAGUAGGGCUACACACGUGCUACAAUGGCGCAUACAAAGAGAAGCGACCUCGCGAGAGCAAGCGGACCUCAUAAAGUGCGUCGUAGUCCGGAUUGGAGUCUGCAACUCGACUCCAUGAAGUCGGAAUCGCUAGUAAUCGUAAAUCAGAAUGUUACGGUGAAUACGUUCCCGGGCCUUGUACACACCGCCCGUCACACCAUGGGAGUGGGUUGCAAAAGAAGUAGAUAGCUUAACCUUCGGGAGGGCGUUUACCACUUUGUGAUUCAUGACUGGGGUGAAGUCGUAACAAGGUAAGCGUAGUGCU
rnacentral:rRNA from 1 species